UACGUAGGGUGCAAGCGUUUGUCCGGAAUCAUUGGGCGUAAAGCGCGCGUAGGUGGCUUCGUAAGUCCGUUGUGAAAGUCAAAGGCUCAACCUUUGAAAGCCGAUGGAUACUGCGGAGCUAGAGUACGGAAGAGGCGAGUGGAAUUCCUGGUGGUAGCGGUGGAAUGCGCAGAUAGUCAGGAGGACACCAAUAGCGAAGGCAGACUCGCUGGGACGUACUGCACUAAGGCGCGAAAGCGAUGG
rnacentral:rRNA from 1 species